GAUGAACGCUGGCGGCGUGCCUAAUACAUGCAAGUCGAGCGAACGGACGAGAAGCUUGCUUCUCUGAUGUUAGCGGCGGACGGGUGAGUAACACGUGGAUAACCUACCUAUAAGACUGGGAUAACUUCGGGAAACCGGAGCUAAUACCGGAUAAUAUUUUGAACCGCAUGGUUCAAAAGUGAAAGACGGUCUUGCUGUCACUUAUAGAUGGAUCCGCGCUGCAUUAGCUAGUUGGUAAGGUAACGGCUUACCAAGGCAACGAUGCAUAGCCGACCUGAGAGGGUGAUCAGCCACACGGGAACGGAGACACGGUCCAGACUCCUACGGGAGGCAGCAGUAGGGAAUCGUCCGCAAUGGGCGAAAGCCUGACGGAGCAACGCCGCGUGAGUGAUGAAGGUCUUCGGAUCGUAAAACUCUGUUAUUAGGGAAGAACAUAUGUGUAAGUAACUGUGCACAUCUUGACGGUACCUAAUCAGAAAGCCACGGCUAACUACGUG
rnacentral:rRNA from 1 species